rnacentral:RNase_P_RNA from 1 species
GGAGUCAGCCAGGCAGUCGCUGCCAAGCCUUAGGGCUUGGGGGAGGAAAGUCCGGGCUCUAAAGGGCAGGGUGCCAGGUAACACCUGGGGGGCGUGAGCCCACGACAAGUGCAGCAGAGAGAAGACCGCCUAAGUAUACCUUCGGGUAUAACGGUAAGGGUGAAAGGGUGCGGUAAGAGCGCACCGCGCAGCUGGUAACAGUUUGCGGCAAGGUAAACUCCACCCGGAGCAAGACCAAAUAGGCUUCCUGAGGUACGGCCCGUACUGGAAGCGGGUAGGUUGCUUGAGCCUGUGAGCGAUUGCAGGCCUAGAGGAAUGACUGUCCAAGACAAAACCCGGCUUACGGCUGGCUCCAUUU